rnacentral:rRNA from 1 species
CCUACGAGAGGCAGCAGUGAGGAAUAUUGGACAAUGGGCGCAAGCCUGAUCCAGCCAUGCCGCGUGCAGGAAGACGGUCCUAUGGAUUGUAAACUGCUUUUAUACAGGAAGAAAUACUUUCUCGUGAGAGAGCUUGACGGUACUGUAAGAAUAAGGAUCGGCUAACUCCGUGCCAGCAGCCGCGGUAAUACGGAGGAUCCAAGCGUUAUCCGGAAUCAUUGGGUUUAAAGGUCCGUAGGCGGUUUAAUAAGUCAGUGGUGAAAUCUGGUCGCUCAACGAUCAAACGGCCAUUGAUACUGUUAGACUUGAAUUAUUGUGAAGUAACUAGAAUAUGUAGUGUAGCGGUGAAAUGCUUAGAUAUUACAUGGAAUACCAAUUGCGAAGGCAGGUUACUAACAAUGGAUUGACGCUGAUGGACGAAAGCGUGGGGAGCGAACAGGAUUAGAUACCCUGGUAGUCCACGCCGUAAACGAUGGAUACUAGCUGUUGGCGCAAGUUCAGUGCUAAGCGAAAGUGAUAAGUAUCCGACCUGGGUAGUCGUUGCUAGAUUGAACUUAAGGAUUGAGG